UACGAAGGGGGCUAGCGUUGCUCGGAAUUACUGGGCGUAAAGGGCGCGUAGGCGGACAGUUAAGUCAGAGGUGGAAAGCCCAGGGCUCAACCCUGGAAUUGCCUUUGAUACUGACUGUCUUGAGUACGGGAGAGGUGUGUGGAACUCCGAGUGUAGAGGUGAAAUUCGUAGAUAUUCGGAAGAACACCAGUGGCGAAGGCGACACACUGGCCCGUUACUGACGCUGAGGCGCGAAAGCGUGGGGAGCAAACAGG
rnacentral:rRNA from 1 species